AUUGAACGCUGGCGGCAGGCCUAACACAUGCAAGUCGAACGAGUGGCGGACGGGUGAGUAAUGUCUGGGAAACUGCCUGAUGGAGGGGGAUAACUACUGGAAACGGUAGCUACUACCGCAUACCAUCAGAUGUGCCCAGAUGGGAUUAGCUUGUUGGUGGGGGAAAGGCUCACCAAGGCGACGAUCCCUAGCUGGUCUGAGAGGAUGACCAGCCACACUGGAACUGAGACACGGUCCAGACUCCUACGGGAGGCAGCAGUGGGGAAUAUGGCACAAUGGGCGCAAGCCUGAUGCAGCCAUGCCGCGUGUAUUAAGAAGGCCUUCGGGUUGUAAAGUAAUUUCAGCGGGGAGGCGUUACCCGCAGAAGAAGCACCGGCUAACUCCGUGCCAGCCGCCGCGGUAAUUC
rnacentral:rRNA from 1 species